CAAUCGUGUCUACCCAGUGUGGGGAGUUGGUGUGUGUGUAUUGAUCGGUUGGUCUCUCGGGGCAACUUUGCUGAUAGUCGGACGUUAAAGAAUACCAUUCCAAUGUUCGCACUGUGUCAAUGACAUUAACUGAUUCCAUUUGAGAGUUAGGAUUAAGCUGGGGGAAUUUGUCAUGUAAUAAUUUCUCUAUCUAUAAUUAGGUCAAGAUGGUCAUCGUAAAGUCUUUGGGGAAACUGGCACUGGUCAAGACUGGAAUAAGGCUGCUAUGAUGACCUCUUCUGAUCAUACAAUGGUCAGUUAUGUUGUAGAUGAUGACAAAGGGCAGACAGGUCUGUGUUGUUUACAAGGUUGUCUCAGUGGCACUGUUGUUGGAGUCUCAUUGUUUGUUGCUCUACCAGUAGGCAAGUAACAUAGACUUAAUAUAACAAGUAACAUAGACAUAAUAGAACAAGUAACAUAGACAUAAUAGAACAAGUCACAUAGACAUAAUAGAACAAGUAACAUAGACAUAACAGAACAAGUAACAUAGACAUAACAGAACAAGUAACAUAGACAUAAUAGAACAAGUCAGAUAGACUUAAUAGAACAAGUAACAUAGACAUGACAGAACAAGUCACAUCAAAGUCAAGCCGUAGAAUUUUCUUUGUACGUGUUUAAAAAGGGAAUACGGUAAAAAUUCUCCCAGGUAUUCCCUGCUCCCCCCCACCCCUCCAAUUACGAGUCGAAAGAACGAAAAAUUACAACUUACACAUUUUUGUAAAGAGAGACAACAUUUUGUUCCAGCUAACAAUCAAUAGUAGUCAUAG
rnacentral:sRNA from 1 species